UAAAUAAUAAUAACCUAAAAAAUGAGGGUUAACGACCGAUUUAAAUACCUUAAUUUUGAUUUCACAAAUUAAAAAAUCAGCGUUUUCACUGAAGGACAAUAGGUAACAAAUUUUAUGAAGUAUAGUACAAAUUUUAGUAAAUUUUGUUUAAUUUAGGGAAAACGUGUAAAAAUGGGAAAUAUUGAUCACGGAGUAGUAUAAGGAGGCUCCACUAGGUGGGCAAAGUGUGAGAAAACCGAGUCCGAUUUUCCGGAAAUUAAUUGCUUCAACUAGGAUUAACCUCACUAGCGGUUCCUAGCGGAAAACUCUUGUAAGCUCUAAAUUUAAACAGUGGCGCGUGUCAAGUGGUGAGAUACCCAAAAAUGCAUUUAUCGUGUUUUUUUAUGUUUUUAGUUACUUGUGUUUAAAAAUUUAUAUCAUUUUUAAAACUUGUAUUUACAGUCAUUAUAAAUCCACCGAGUAAGUAUAUCGUCUAAUUAAAAACUUAUGUAGUUUGAUACAGUAAACAUAACCUACAAUUUCGAUUAUUGUCAAGCACAACAAGGAAUUAUUAUAACUGUGACAAAUUUUAUUUAAAUAAAUAAAUGCAGUUAUUUGUUGUUUUUGUGAUGCUGAGACGUGCUUCAUGUGCUGUUAUUCGUUUUUUUGCACUAUAUCAAAAUCAAACAAGAAAAAGGAGAUUCUUAUAAUUACUGAAAAAUGAAAAGUUGUAAAGACGACGUAGAAAAGUACACAAAUGUUACAGCACAUGCAGAUUCUAAGUUAAUAUUCAAAAAUUUACAAAAUCAAUUGGAAUUUGUUAAAUUACCUGACAAGAGGUGGUGUUAUACAAAAGGAAAUGAAACCUUUUUUGGUUUUCAAAGAGUUGAAGAGAAUUACAAAGUUUUAAAAAGAGUGGGAGUAUUUAAUAAUAUGGAAAUAAGAAUUUAUUUUAACAACAAAGUGAUGCCUUUUUCGCCAUACAUAAAAGUAACUAAUGUCGAAGAAUUUAAUAAUCUUUUAAAAACUAUUAACGAGGUUAACGUGAAUGCAGUAGAAAUGACAAAUGUAAUUUAAAAGAAAAGAACUUCUGAUACGAGCGCCUAAAAUUUACAAACUUUAUACAAUUAUGGUAAUCAACUUGUGAAUUAUAUUUUUGUUUUAUUUAGAUUUUAUUUUAUAUAUUUUAAAAUUUGCAAUAUUAUUUUAUUUUUAAUUUAUACAUGAAAUUUUUAAGUAUAAAAUAGAAAUUUUUAUAGUCUCAAUAUUUUAAUAUUGGAGGAUUUUUAAUUAUUUUAUUGUUAUUGUAUUAAAUAUGUAAUGAAAUGGAAAUUAAUUUUUGAUUUAUACAAGGAAUUUUUUCAUAGUUUUCUAUUUUUGACAUUUAAUAUAUAUUUUUUAAUGCGUUUUAGCUAUUUAGAUGAAUGAAUUUGUAUAUAUUUAUAUUUAUUAAAAAUUGUAUAGAUUAUAAUAAAUAAGAAAUUAAGUGAUUUAUAAAAUGUAGUACAAAAGGUGUCAAUAAAAAUGUAUUUUUUAUUGUA